UGUCCAGGGGCGGGAACCGAACCCACAACCUUCCGCUUACCGGGCAGAUGCCAUGUCCACUAGGCUACCCGCCCCUGGAC